CAUAAGGAACUGCAUCUGGUCAUUAUCCACAGCAGUGAGCUUGGAGGUAGAUAUUUCUCCAGUCACGAGGUGGGAUGACCUCAGUCCUGGCUGGUAUUAUGUGGUAUUUGCAGCCCAUGACAGAUACUGAGCUAGGGGACCCAGCUCAGCCACUCUCAGAUUCUUCACCCAUGAAACAAUAACAUUUCUUACUGACUGAUAGGGUGCUUGGGACAAGCCUGUGGAAGUGACAACGCUGAAAACUGUGUAGCACCUGAGAGAGGAGCAGAAGGCACAUUACCACGGACUAUUCCCUUUGGUGUGAGCAUCUUGGCGCUCAUGGUGUCUGAGUGAAAUAUGCUAGCAGCUCAUCUUGGUAUUAACUCAAUGAAUCUACUCCUGACACGUCACAGUGUACCUGUAUGCUCUGACAUCACAAAAGUGCCCGGAAACAGAAGCCAACAUAGCUACCACAAGGGUCCACAGAAAUGCAGGCUUUGGACAAUGGAUUUAGGGAACAUGUCCUAGAAAUUCAGAGCAGCAGGCGGCCUUGUGAAUGUAUCUUGUGAAAUUCCGAGCACCUGGCAAGGGAGUCUGCACGCUUGUCACCUGAGCUUGAUCCUCUCCCCACUCUGGGGUGUAAUAAAGGCACACAGUAAAGUGCUGAGAUUAUUUGAAAUUCUCAGCUUUUUUUGCUGUGUAUUUCCAA